GGCGGAAUUGGUAGACGCGCUAGCUUCAGGUGUUAGUGUCCUUACGGAUGUGGGGGUUCGAGUCCCCCC
rnacentral:tRNA from 3 species